ACACGACUACAUUAGAUACCCGUGUAGUCCUAGCCGUAAACGAUACUCGCUAGGUGUCGGCCACGGUGCGACCGUUGUCGGUGCCGUAGGGAAGCCGUGAAGCGAGCCACCUGGGAAGUACGGCCGCAAGGCUGAAACUUAAAGGAAUUGGCGGGGAGCACCACAAGAGGUGGAGGCUGCGGUUCAAUUGGACUCAAUGCCGGAAAACUCAUCGGGAGCGACAGCAGUAUGAUUGCCAGGUUGAUGACCUUGCUUGACAAGCUG
rnacentral:rRNA from 1 species